UACUGCAAUUCCCGAAUUUCAAACGUUUAACUGCAAACUAUCAGUAUUGACUUAUCCUAUCUUGAAGAAACUCAAAUCACAGCCAUAGCGAUAGCUAAUUGCAAUCAAGCGUUAAGUUUCGGAGCCGGAAUCCUGUGACAUUUUUGAGAAAAUAUAUCCAGAGUGAAAAAAUUCACAGCGACAAGAAGCAUGAGAUAAGGGCAACGAUUUUUGCACAUUUGCACGUGUUCACGAUCUCAAACCUCUAGUCACAAGCCAGGGGGAUAUCAUCUACCCACUUAAUGUAUCUCUUGACGUCCUACCAGCAUUAAGUAGACGAAUAAAGCUGUCUGUUAAUGUAUGGACUCCUGAGCUUAAUGCCGAGGCCAAAGUCAAUACUCAGUCAUUGUGGAAUGACUACUAUGAUAUAUUUGUUUAUAAUGAUCCCGAUGAGAUAUUAAAUGAGGUUCAGAACACAUUUCGAUGUCAUGUGAAUGCUACUCUACCAGUAAUAUCACCACCAACUGUGCACUGUAAAUAUAACUACAUCAGUAACAAACAAUAUGUGGCUUUAGAAGUAAUAAACAGUCUAGGAGAACCAGUAAUACUCCAUCAAGCCAGUGUUCAUCCAAGCUGCAGCACUCUCUACAACACUUCMAACAAAUUACAUAAUCAAAGGAGCUGUGACAUGUUCGUUAUGCCAAUAAAUACGAAGCAAAAUGAACUCCCUAUUUCCUUAUUACCAUGGGAGCAUAUUUCAUUUCUAUACAGAAUUAUACGACCAGAAAACCAAACUUCAAAAGAUAAA